CAGGAUUAGAAGAUUCCUUUUGGACUUCUGACCUGGCUGCUCCAUGGUCUCACAUGAUGCUUCUUCCCACGGGAGGACAAGGAGGAAGCUACGCUCAGGCUGCAAGCAGCCACAGUCCCAGUGCUCUGAAGUGUAUGUCAGCCCCUAAAGGGGCAGGACCAAUGUGCUAUCCAUAGAAAAGAGAGGUUCCAUUUUACCGCCCCACCCAAGGAAAGGUGGAGCUGAGCAGGCAUGAGAAGCUAAGGAAGAGGAAGAAGACGUGGAGUAAGAUGAGGAAAGAAGACUGGAGCUGGUGCAUGGAGCAGAGAGACGUGAAGAAGAAACCACACUUGCUCCUCACUUGGACGUGUGCCAGGAGUUGGGGACAUGGAGACAGACACAUGAAAGAGACAAAAAUGUGGAUGAGAGACCCAUGGGUUCUGCCAUCCGCCGCAUCAACACAAAACAUAGGAGACUUUAAUGGGAAGGAACUUUAAUAAAACUAGGAAACAAUACAGGUAAGGCAAAGAGUCUAGUUUCUAAAUGAAGCACCCAAAGUUACCCAUCCCCUCGUGGGUAAAAGUCCAUCCAAA